AGAGUUUGAUCAUGGCUCAGGACGAACACUGGCGGCGUGCUUAACACAUGCAAGUCGAGCGGUAAGGCCCUUCGGGGUACACGAGCGGCGAACGGGUGAGUAACACGUGAGCAACCUGCCCCUGACUCCGGGAUAAGCGGUGGAAACGCCGUCUAAUACCGGAUACGACCCUCCUCCGCAUGGUGGGGGGUGGAAAGUUUUUUCGGUCGGGGAUGGGCUCGCGGCCUAUCAGCUUGUUGGUGGGGUAACGGCCUACCAAGGCGAUUACGGGUAGCCGGCCUGAGAGGGCGACCGGCCACACUGGGACUGAGACACGGCCCAGACUCCUGCGGGAGGCAGCAGUGGGGAAUAUUGCGCAAUGGGCGAAAGCCUGACGCAGCGACGCCGCGUGGGGGAUGACGGCCUUCGGGUUGUAAACCUCUUUUACCACUCACGCAGGCCCCGGGUUCUCCCGGGGUUGACGGUAGGUGGGGAAUAAGGACCGGCUAACUACGUGCCAGCAGCCGCGGUAAUACGUAGGGUCCGAGCGUUGUCCGGAAUUAUUGGGCGUAAAGAGCUCGUAGGCGGCGUGUCGCGUCUGCUGUGAAAGACCGGGGCUUAACCCCGGUUCUGCAGUGGAUACGGGCAUGCUAGAGGUAGGUAGGGGAGACUGGAAUUCCUGGUGUAGCGGUGAAAUGCGCAGAUAUCAGGAGGAACACCGGUGGCG
rnacentral:rRNA from 1 species